rnacentral:rRNA from 1 species
UAGUCCACGCUGUAAACGAUGAGUGUUAAGUAUUUGAUAUUAUUGGGUGCUACAGCUAACGCGUUAAACACUCCGCCUGGGGAGUACGGUCGCAAGACUAAAACUUAAACGGAAUUGACGGGGAUCCGCACAAGCGGUGGAGCAUGUGGUUUAAUUCGAUUCUAACCGACGAACCUUACCAGUUUUUGCAUAAUAUUAAAUCUAAAUAGAAAUAUUUAGAUGUGAGAAAUCUAUAUAUUACAGGUGAUGCAUGGCUGUCGUCAGCUCGUGCUGUGAAGUGUCAGGUUAAGUCCUAUAACGAGCGCAACCCCUGUUGUUAGUUGCCAGCGAGUCAAGUCGGGAACUCUAACAAGACUGCCGGUGCAAACCGUGAGGAAGGUGGGGAUGACGUCAAAUCAUCACGGCCCUUACGUCCUGGGCUACACACGUGCUACAAUGGUAGGUACAGAGAGCAGCCACUGCGCGAGCAGGAGCGAAUCUAUAAAACCUAUCACAGUUCGGAUCGG